AUACGUAGGGGGCGAGCGUUGUCCGGAAUGAUUGGGCGUAAAGGGCGCGUAGGCGGCCCGGUAAGUCUGGAGUGAAAGUCCUGUUUUUAAGAUGGGAAUUGCUUUGGAUACUGUCGGGCUUGAGUGCAGGAGAGGUAAGUGGAAUUCCCAGUGUAGCGGUGGAAUGCGUAGAGAUUGGGAGGAACACCAGUGGCGAAGGCGACUUACUGGACUGUAACUGACGCUGAGGCGCGAAAGUGUGGGGAGCAAACAGGAUUAGAUACCCUGGUAGUCCACACUGUAAACGAUGAAUGCUAGGUGUAGGGGGUAUCGACCCCUUCUGUGCCGCAGUCAACACAAUAAGCAUUCCGCCUGGGGAGUACGGCCGCAAGGUUGAAACUCAAAGGAAUUGACGGGG
rnacentral:rRNA from 1 species